rnacentral:rRNA from 1 species
AUUGAACGCUGGCGGCAUGCCUUACACAUGCAAGUCGAACGGCAGCAUGAUCUAGCUUGCUAGAUUGAUGGCGAGUGGCGAACGGGUGAGUAAUACAUCGGAACGUGCCCUGUAGUGGGGGAUAACUAGUCGAAAGAUUAGCUAAUACCGCAUACGACCUGAGGGUGAAAGUGGGGGGCCGCAAGGCCUCGUGCUAUAGGAGCGGCCGAUGUCUGAUUAGGUAGUUGGUGAGGUAAAGGCUCACCAAGGCGACGAUCAGUAGCUGGUCUGAGAGGACGAUCAGCCACACUGGGACUGAGACACGGCCCAGACUCCUACGGGAGGCAGCAGUGGGGAAUUUUGGACAAUGGGGGCAACCCUGAUCCAGUAAUGCCGCGUGUGUGAAGAAAGCCUUCGGGUUGUAAAGCACUUUUGUCCGGAAAGAAAUCGCACUUACUAAUAUUAGGUGUGGAUGACGGUACCGGAAGAAUAAGGACCGGCUAACUACGUGCCAGCAGCCGCGGUAACAC